rnacentral:lncRNA from 1 species
CUUGAUGCUGCCUUGUCUGUUUUGAUGUAUUGAGUUUUUCCCUUCAUCUAUUGCAGACCCAAAAAUAAGGAGCUGGCCUCGGUGGAUCUUCCACCGGGUAUAUCACAGCAUCAAGAGGCUUCACAGGGCACAGAUUCUGAUGAUGAAACCAUAGGAUCUCUGCUUAGGUGAGCUCAUUCAGCUUUACACAUUAAGAACUGAGUAUUGGAUGUUCAUGAUGCUAAUUAUUAAACAUCAUCAGUUUAUAUGCUAUGAGUUUCUUCCUUUGCACACAUUUGACUGGACCAGUUCCUUCUAUUUUUAAACAGCAUAGGAAAGAAAAGAAGGUUAUCUACAUCAGAUGUUACAGAGAACAGACAAGAACACCAAGAUUCUUCGAAGAACAUUGUUCCGGACAUGGAUACUAUCGGUUCAAAUGUCA